GCGCCCUUAGCUCAAUGGAUAGAGCGCUUGGCUUCGGACCAAGAGGCUGAAGGUUCGACUCCUUCAGGGCGCA
rnacentral:tRNA from 1 species